UACCUGGUUGAUCCUGCCAGUAGUCAUAUGCUUGUCUCAAAGAUUAAGCCAUGCAAGUCUAAGUACGAGCUCUCGUACAGUGAAACUGCGAAUGGCUCAUUAAAUCAGUUAUGGUUCAUUUGAUCGUACAGUUUACUUGGAUAACUGUGGUAAUUCUAGAGCUAAUACAUGCGAGAAGCGCCGACCUCGCGGGAGGCGUGCAUUUAUCAGACCAAAAACCGGCCGCGUCUUCGGGCGCGUUCGCCUUGGUGACUCUGGAUAACUUUGCGGAUCGCACGGUCUAGCACCGGCGACGGAUCAUUCAAGUGUCUGCCCUAUCAACUUUCGUCGGUACGGUAUUUGCCUACCGAGGUUCUUACGGGUGACGGGGAAUCAGGGUUCGAUUCCGGAGAGGGAGCCUGAGAAACGGCUACCACAUCCAAGGAAGGCAGCAGGCGCGCAAAUUACCCAUUCCCGACGCGGGGAGGUAGUGACGAAAAAUAACAAUGCAGGACUCGUUCGAGGCCCUGUAAUUGGAAUGAGUACACUUUAAAAGCUUUAACGAGUAUCCAUUGGAGGGCAAGUCUGGUGCCAGCAGCCGCGGUAAUUCCAGCUCCAAAAGUAUAUAUUUAAGUUGUUGGGGUUAAAAAGCUCGUAGUUGGAUUUUGGGCGCAGGCGGCCGGUCCGUCGCAAGGCGUGUACUGGACGUCCUGGCCUUCCCUCCGGUUCUCCGCCGGUGCUCUUGACUGAGUGUCGGCGGCGGCCGGAACGUUUACUUUGAAAAAAUUAGAGUGUUCAAAGCAGGCUCUCGAGCCUGGAUAAUGGUGCAUGGAAUAAUGGAAUAGGACCUCGGUUCUAUUUUGUUGGUUUUCGGAGCGCGAGGUAAUGAUUAAGAGGGACAGACGGGGGCAUUCGUACU
rnacentral:ncRNA from 1 species